AGCGAACGCUGGCGGCGGGCCUAACACAUGCAAGUCGAACGGACUCUUCGGGGUUAGUGGCGGACGUGGGGGUACCACCUGGUAACUAGCCCUUAAGUUCGGUGUAACUGAGUGUGACUUGAGCUCAUACCGCAUGUGCCAUUCCGGGGUAGGAUUUGUCGCUUGGGGAUCGGCGCGCGGCUGAUUAGCUUGUUGGUGAGGUAGUGGCUUACCAAGGCCUCGAUGAGUAGAUGGUCUGAGAGGAUGACCGGCCACAUUGGGACUGCGAUACGGCACAGACUACUACGGGAGGCAGAAGUGGGGAAUAUUGUACAAUGGGCGGAAGGAUGAUGCAGCAACGCCGCGUGGGGGAUGACGGCCUUCGGGUUGUAAACCGCUUUCGCCUGUGACGAAGCGUGAGUGACGGUAAUGGGUAAAGAAGCACCGGCUAACUACGUG
rnacentral:rRNA from 1 species